UAUCACAUGCAGUAUACACCAUAUCGUGUGCAAUAUAUUAUGUCUUUAGUCUGAGUCUUUUCUUUGGUUAAUUUACUUAUUGCCUACUUUCGUACUCAAGUUAUAUUUUGAUGGGCGCAACGCUGACCAUUAGAAAAAGGAAUUUGUUUGUAGCUUGAUUAAAAAUAUGUGUAUCUCUCUUGCUCACAAACGUCUUUCUCCAUUCAUUCUUUCUCUCUUCUUUGCUCUCUCCCUUCUCCAUCCUCUCACACGGAGUAA